rnacentral:rRNA from 1 species
UACAGAGGUCCCAAGCGUUGUUCGGAUUCAUUGGGCGUAAAGGGUGCGUAGGUGGCGUGGUAAGUCUGGUGUGAAAUCCCGGGGCUCAACCCCGGAACUGCACUGGAUACUGCCAUGCUUGAGUACUGGAGAGGAGAUUGGAAUUUACGGUGUAGCAGUGAAAUGCAUAGAUACCAUCAAGAACACCGAUUGCGAAGGCAGCUUACUAAGCUGUAACUGACGCUGAGGCACGAAAGCGUGGGGAUCGAACAGG